rnacentral:rRNA from 1 species
UACGGAGGGAGCUAGCGUUGUUCGGAAUUACUGGGCGUAAAGCGCACGUAGGCGGCUUUGUAAGUUAGAGGUGAAAGCCCGGGGCUCAACUCCGGAAUAGCCUUUAAGACUGCAUCGCUUGAAUCCGGGAGAGGUGAGUGGAAUUCCGAGUGUAGAGGUGAAAUUCGUAGAUAUCGGGAGGAACACCAGUGGCGAAGGCGGCGAUCUGGGAAGAUACUGACGCUGAGGUGCGAAAGCGUGGGGAGCAAACAGG